GGACGCGGAGCUCCGCAGGUAGAGCGCCUGGCUGUUAACCGGGAAGUCGGUGGUUCGAUCCCACCCGUGUCCG
rnacentral:tRNA from 2 species